rnacentral:rRNA from 1 species
AGAGAGAGACAUGCGCGCAUAUCAAUAAGCGGAGGAAAAGAAACUAACAAGGAUUCCCCUAGUAACGGCGAGUGAAGCGGGAAGAGCUCAAAUUUGAAAUCUUAAAGGGUUUCCCUUUACGAAUUGUAGUUUAAAGAAGUGUUUUCUGUUGAGGUUUUGGUAAAAGUUCUUUGGAAUAGGACAUCAUAGAGGGUGAGAAUCCCGUAUUUGACCUUUACUUUCAACUUUGUGACACACUUUCAAAGAGUCGGAUUGUUUGGGAAUGCAGUCCAAAAUGGGUGGUAAAUUUCAUCUAAAGCUAAAUAUUGGCGAGAGACCGAUAGCGAACAAGUACCGUGAGGGAAAGAUGAAAAGAACUUUGAAAAGAGAGUUAAACAGUACGUGAAAUUGUCAAAAGGGAAGCGUUUGACACCAGUGUUGUUUUUCUGAAAAUCAAUUAAAGAACUGUUUAUGCUAAGUUGUUUAGACUUUAUCAGCUAACUGUUUAGUUUUGAGCUUUUCUUUAAUGCACUUUUCAGUUAACAAGUCAACAUCAAUUUCUUUUGCUGUAAAAAAGCUUGAGGAAGGUGGCUUGAGAUUCGUCUUAAGUGUUUAUAGCCUCUUGCCUAUGCAGUCGGAGAGAUUGAGGUCUGCAGCGUAGAUCCUUCGGGGCUAAAUGCAUUUGUGCUAAGUUAUAGCAUUUUAUAGACAACUUGUUGACUAUGAUUUGUCUUGUAGCUUACUCACUUAUGUUAUUUUACCUACGCUUAGGAUGUUGAGCGCAUGUCUCUCUCU